rnacentral:rRNA from 1 species
AGCAGCCGCGGUAAUUCCAGCUCCAAUGGCGUAUAUUAAAGUUGUUGCAGUUAAAAAGCUCGUAGUUGAAUUUCGGGGUCAAUACGUCGGUCGUGCCUCGGUACGUACUAACGUUAUUGAUCCCUCCCUUCUGACGAACCGUGAUGUCAUUAAUUUGGUGUUGCGGGGAAUCAGGACCAUUACCUUGAAAAAAUUAGAGUGUUUAAAGCAGGCAAUCGCUCGAAUACAUUAGCAUGGAAUAAUGAAAUAGGACGUUCGAACCUAUUUUGUUGGUUUUCUAGGAUCGACGUAAUGAUUAAUAGGGAUAGUUGGGGGCAGUUAGUAUUCAAUUGUCAGAGGUGAAAUUCUUGGAUUUAUUGAAGACUAACUACUGCGAAAGCAUUUGCCAAGGAUGUUUUCAUUAAUCUAAGAACGAAAGUUAGGGGAUCGAAGACGAUCAGAUACCGUCGUAGUCUUAACCAUAAACUAUGCCGACUAGGGAUCGGAUGAUGUUAAUUUUAUAAUGACUCAUUCGGCGCCU